AGCCGCACCUAAUCAGCCUGGCAAUUUCCCUAAUCCCCCCUACAGCCUCUGAUGAUCUGAUCACAUGCCAAAAAGCAAAGUCUGCAGGUAACUGCCAGGAGGGGUGGCACGAUCCGAGCUGAACAAUGCUAGAGCUUGCAAAACCCUCCCUAAAAAAACCCCGAGGCUGUUCACAGACUGGCACAGGGCUGGGCUGGGCAUUUGCUGACCCUUGGUGAUUGCUCAGCUGCUGCUCGUUGGUGCUCCAGGUGCGGCACCACUUGCAGCUCUCCUCGUUUUGAGCCUCCCCCUCAUUUUAAACAUCUGUCUCCCAGUUAGUGCUCCCCAAAACACUCAGCUCAGGCACAAGGCAAGUUUUGUUUUUUUUUUCCCUCUCUUUCUUUCCUUAACAGAAUCCAGUACUCUAUAAAUAAAGAACACGACGUUUAUUAUCUGAUUUCUCCUGCAGGGUGGAAGCUGCAGGGAUGUGGCAGCGAAGUGGGCAGUGCUGGGUGGUUUGGGGAUGCAGGUGAGGACAGAAAGCUGCACUUCGAGGCGGUGAUGAGGAAAGAAGCCCCUGAAGCAGCAGACUGGCAGGCAGCAGGUCACACUUGCCAGAGGAAGAAGAGUUGGUGACUAAGAGGAAUUACAGCAGGCAAGCCGAAACAAAACACAAACAAAAGCCAGGGAAAGCAAAACCCGUGUGUUGCCUUUCCUUCCCUCCGACCUGCAGCAGAGCUGCUCAGGAGCCUGGCACGUGGCUGUGCCACUCUGGGACUUGGCAAGCUCCAGCCCAAGCUGAUUUCCACGCGAUUUGAGGCUUUCUUUGGAACUGCUGCAGCAUUGCUGGAGGCUGCUUCGCUCCGUGCUCCAGCCUUAUUAGAAAAGCCGUGUCCCAGCGGAUGCCAUUUUGGCACCUAUUAAACCCCCCCAAGGAACCUUUGUGGGUUAUUGCCUGUCUCGGAGCCGCCUUGCUGCCACUUCACCAUGGGCUGAUGUAGGAGACGACGAGGAACCCGCCAGGCGCUUCCCUCUGGGGCUUGUUGGCAGCCUGAAUUUUGGCUCGAGUCGCCGUGGGGCAUCUCCCCAGGGGCAGGCACUCUGCUGCAGGAGGAGGCCUUGGAUGAGUAACAGAAGCAGUUCAUAUUUAUUGCAAAGCAGAAGUGUUAAAUAACUUCCAGCAGAGACAGCUUUACUGGUGCUCGGUAGACAUGAAAUAAGGAGAAAUUCAGCCGUGUGUCUGUCUGAUUGCUGGUGGUUCCUGUAAAGGAUCGAAUGCUUUUCCCUAGGAUGUCAGAAGGUGGUUUCAAAGCCUUGGUGCAGGGGAGAAAAGCAACCCCAGCCCUGAUGUUUUUCGGAGGCAUUUACAUUUGCACUGCCAAAGGCUGGUUUUCCACCUGGGUACGGCAUUCCAUGGGCAUGAAAGAGCCGUGGCUGCAAACAAAUGCUGCUCGCCCACCCCAGACCCAAUUGGGUCCCUUCCACGUGGGUUACAACGUGCUGGGGCAGGGCUUGUUUCUAAGCAUCUGCUGCAGGAGAGCCCUGAUCCCGUCUGAGACCUUUUGUGUUGUCAUAAGCAUCAAAACAACACGCAACCUCAGGGCUUUUGUAGACUGUGGUCAGAGCAAAAGGGAAAUUUAUCAACAGGGAGGGAUGUUUGUUCCCUGAAAUGUGGGAGGUGAUCGAUGGGCUGGGAAGGGGAGGGUGGCCUGGCCCAUCCAUCCCCGCUUGCAGGAGCCUGGUCCUCAGCACCGCUCAGUAUUUGCCAUCUGGCACCUUUUUUUUUAUGUUUGUUUUUCCUCUUCUGGGCCCUGACGUGUUUCAGCGUCAGCCUUUUUGCUCCGGCAACGAAAGCGAUUCCAGCAAGAACCGUGCGCGUCUGAGCUGCAAGGUCGUUUUGGUUCAGAGCUCCCUGAACAGCAAGGACUAAAACCCCUCUGGUUUCUGGCUGUGCUUGCUCGGUGUUUCGCAUGUAAACCAGGUAGCCCUUACGGGAUAAUGGUUGCUUUUCCAGUUGCCACUACAAACAUUUUUGCCUAUCAGCUGAGCUCCAGCAGCCUGCGCGCUAUCUCUUGCCUGGCAUUAAACACACCAGCGUGAGCUGCCAAUAAAUAAUGCAACAGAUCCCCCUAGCCAGGACUUUUUCUUCUACUAAUAAGGAGAAAAAGAUGAGGCAGCAGGUAGCGUGGUUCAGCGGCUGACAGCUUUAGCCUAACCUCCCCCUGGGUUGUUACGCAGACGGUUUUCUCAUCCCACGCGCUGUGGGUGGGAUUUGCCUGGGUUUCGCUCAUCUCCCUUCUUGUGUCCUGCGCUGAAAUCCCCCCCAGAGGCAUCUUCUCCCUGGGAAAACUGCAUCCUGCAAAUCCUCCUUUGCUCCUACCCAUUUCUUCUUGGUUUACCCGGGUGCACUCUUGCAAGAGUGGAUUUUCCUCGCAGUACCCACGGGAUUUGUGUAGGUUUUGUUAUGGCCUGGCUACAGCCACUAAAAUCACCCCCCCGGCUGCUGAGUUAAGCCACGGGUGGAAACGUCCUGGCUCCGUGUGGGGCCUGGCUGAGGGCUUUGGAAGGACAAGCCCUGGAGCCUGCUUCCCCAGUAUGUUUUUAUGGACUUUUUAUGUUAAGGUGGGCAUUUCCCACUCACCUUGAUGACAAAUGACCUCAGUCAGCUUUAAUAAUCUGCAGCAGUGAUUUUCAGUACUCAAAUACUUAUUGUAGGGCCAUUUAAGAGCUUCUGACCAGGACAAGCAGCCCCUUGUAGCAUGGGAAACAUUGAUUGUGUAUGGGGUGAGCUCCACCCUUGUUCUGCUGCUGGUGGCUGGGCAGGGAAGCAGUCUCAUGCUGUGGUCUUAAAAAAAAAAAAAUAAUCAAAAAAAUCACUCUUUGCUGAGCCCACAGGACCAGCAUCAUGCUGAAGUGCAAUAAAUGGCUAAUUAACCUCACCCCCACUGCAAGGAAGAGUUGCUAAAGCCCUGUUGGUUUUAUGACAACGCCAUCUCUUAGAGCAGCGUUAUUUUUCUUUUCCUAUGACGGUCAGUAAUGUGGUGCAGGCUUCAGCGUGCAUGAAUAUUUCAAUAAUAAGCCUUUGUCUGUUAUUUCCCUGUCUCAGAGGAGAUAAAUCUCGCUGGACACAGUGACACUGGUGCAGCCUGUCCAUGCUGGGAGAGCAGGGCUUGUUCUCGUGGUGUAAGGACGGGGAUGUGGGGGCUCUCCAGAGGCUCGUCCUUUGCACAGCAGCCCUGGAGAAAAAUGCAAACCAGCUCCCGAUGCGUUUUGCAGCACGUAGAAGCUCAAGUAGGGGGGAAAUAUGGCUGGAGCAAUGAGCUUGAUGCUUUGUCAGUGAGGGAAGUCGGUGUACAAAGGAUAAAUAAAAGAUGCAGCUCUCUAAAUGCAAA